rnacentral:rRNA from 1 species
GAUGAACGCUGACAGAAUGCUUAACACAUGCAAGUCUUUGGCGAAGCUGUGCUUGCACAGCCUAGCCAAGGCGGACGGGUGAGUAACGCGUAAGGAACUUGCCCUGCAGUCAGGGAUAACAGACGGAAACGACUGAUAAGACCUGGUAAAGUCAGGCGGACUCAUGUCCAGCCUGAUGAAAAGAGAUGCUGCAGGAGAGCCUUGCGUCCUAUUAGCUUGUUGGUGGGGUAACGGCCCACCAAGGCGAUGAUAGGUAGCCGGCCUGAGAGGGUGGACGGCCACAAGGGGACUGAGAUACGGCCCUUACUCCUACGGGAGGCAGCAGUGGGGAAUAUUGGACAAUGGGGGCAACCCUGAUCCAGCAAUUCUGUGUGCACGAUGAAGGUUUUCGGAUUGUAAAGUGCUUCCAGCAGGGAAGAAAAAAAUGACGGUACCUGCAGAAGAAGCGACGGCUAAAUACGUG